CCUACGGGGUGCUGCAGUGGGGAAUAUUGCACAAUGGGGGAAACCCUGAUGCAGCGACGCCGCGUGAGUGAAGAAGUAUCUCGGUACGUAAAGCUCUAUCAGAAGGGAAGAAAAUGACGGUACCUGACUAAGAAGCCCCGGCUAACUACGUGCCAGCAGCCGCGGUAAUACGUAGGGGGCAAGCGUUAUCCGGAUUUACUGGGUGUAAAGGGAGCGUAGACGGCAGCACAAGUCUGGAGUGAAAUCCCGGGGCUUAACCCCGGAACUGCUUUGGAAACUGUGCGGCUGGAGUGCAGGAGGGGUAUGCGGAAUUCCUGGUGUAGCGGUGAAAUGCGUAGAUAUUAGGAGGAACACCGGUGGCGAAGGCGGCUUACUGGACUGUAACUGACGUUGAGGCUCGAAGGCGUGGGGAGCGAACAGGAUUAGAUACCCUUGUAGUC
rnacentral:rRNA from 1 species